AAUCCAAAAGAGACAUGCAAUCAGCGAUGUCCAGUAUUCCCAAAUCGCACUCCGGGGAGACAGCCAAGUAUUUCGCAUGGUUGUAAAGUCGCGGGAUCCACUUUUUAAAAUUCCAAAGACGACUCAGAAUUGCUCAUCAAAACUGAAUUCGACGGAGCAUAUAUGGAUUUUGGUGUCUGCGACAAAGCUGCGCUCAUUGUACUUGGUGCAACAUUCUCUCAGGUUUUUUUUUUUCUGUUACUCACAAGUCUGAGCGCGGCUCGAUCAGGUUGAAGCCCCCGAGUCCUCACAGGCGGAUCAGUGAUACACCUGCGAUCGCAGGCUGCUACAAUUAGCCUGCAGGAGUCUCUAUAUCCCCUCCUACCGCCGAUGCUAUCUGUCUACUGGCAAGUACCACGGCAACAGCCGAGUCGGACUCCCGCACCGCCGAGGAGGAGGAGAACUGCGCCUGCGGAACUUUGGGUUGCCUCGAUUCUGUCGCCCAAGACAAAUAAAGAAAAGCGUUACACGAGGAAUGCUGAGGGAUCUGAACGCACUUUAAACAUUCAGAAAAUGCUUAUUGCAGUUUAAUGACUCCAGCAGUUCCAGUCAUGAAACCUGUUCAUAUAACACAGAGAUACUUUGUGGAGGUAGAAAAGCCGCUCCGCGACGCUCCUCUCCAGUUACGCACGGUGAUUAGCCUACACGAGGCUGGUUAUUGAAGAACGCCCAAAAAGGAUCUUUGUUACACAGUGUUCAAAUUAAAAAAAAUCAUCUAGUUUGUGCUGGAUGGAAGGUGGUGCAGAAAGCCGGGCAUUUGUGUGCGUCUGACGACCCUCCUUCCACGGUGCCACUAGAGGCACGCGUCGUUACGCAUACUUGUCAACUAUGUCCAAGAAGUAUUUUAUGGAGGUGAGAGGGAUCCGACUAAUGCCCCGGUACUUUUCCAGCUAUGCACUGAGAUGGAGAUUUUUUUUUUUUUCUUUGCCUCAAGCAAAGAAGAUGGAAACUCCCUGGCUGCCUGCAUUAUUGUGAACGGGAUGAAUUAUUUGCAUGAGGGAAAUAAGUGUCAGCUGAGGGUUGGGCCAUUGACAAAGCAGACUUCUUAUCGCUGUUCUCUGAGACGUUCUGUCUGUGUCAAUGAGUACAUUAAACCCCCAUAACUGCCCUGUGCCUAUCUGGCUGUUCAUUUUUCAUGCCUUAUGAAGAGCCAUCAUAUACAAGCUACAGGCUGUGCUUCUCGUGUCUCUCUCACCACUGCAGUGGAGGUGGCAAAGCACAGCUGAAAAUAUUGAAUUACCUGUUUAUGGCACAGAUUUCAGCAAGGAGGCUAUAUUAUGCAUUUUGCCUAAAACAGAUAUCUGAAACUUCUAGCAUCAUCAAAAGGCUAAAAAUAAAAACUUUGGAAGGAUGAAA